GUUUACUUUGAAAANAUUAGAGUGUUCAAAGCAGCGUUUCGCUUGAAUACAUGAGCAUGGAAUAAUGGAAUAGGACUUUGGUUCUAUUUUGUUGGUUUCUAGGACCGAAGUAAUGAUUAAGAGGGACAAACGGGGGCANCUGUAUUUCGUUGCNAGAGGUUAAAUUCUUGGAUUUGCGAAAGACAAACAACUGCGAAAGCACUUGCCAAGAGUGUNNUCAUUAAUCAAGNNCGAAAGUUAGAGGUNAUAAGACGAUCAGAUACAUUCCUNGUUCUAACCAUAAACGAUGUCGACUAGGGAUCGGCGGGCGUUAUUUUAUGACCCCGUUGGCCACUUACGGGAAACCAAAGUUUUUG
rnacentral:rRNA from 1 species